rnacentral:piRNA from 1 species
UCCAACAAAGGUUGUAAGAACUGC